AUUGAACGCUGGCGGCAUGCCUCACACAUGCAAGUCGAACGGCAGCAUAGGAGCUUGCUCCUGAUGGCGAGUGGCGAACGGGUGAGUAAUUUAUCGGAACGUGCCCUAGAGUGGGGGAUAACUAGUCGAAAGACUAGCUAAUACCGCAUACGAUCUACGGAUGAAAGUGGGGGAUCGCAAGACCUCAUGCUCCUGGAGCGGCCGAUAUCUGAUUAGCUAGUUGGUGGGGUAAAAGCCUACCAAGGCGACGAUCAGUAGCUGGUCUGAGAGGACGACCAGCCACACUGGGACUGAGACACGGCCCAGACUCCUACGGGAGGCAGCAGUGGGGAAUUUUGGACAAUGGGGGCAACCCUGAUCCAGCAAUGCCGCGUGAGUGAAGAAGGCCUUCGGGUUGUAAAGCUCUUUUGUCAGGGAAGAAACGGUAGUAGCUAAUAUCUAUUACUAAUGACGGUACCUGAAGAAUAAGCACCGGCUAACUACGUGCCAGCCGCCGCCGUAA
rnacentral:rRNA from 1 species